UCUCUGGUAGUAUAUCGGUUAGUACACGCGCCUGUCAUUGUGUUUAGCACAGAAGACGUUCGCGUGAAAGCUGGGUUCGACUCCCAGCCAGAGAG